AUUUAUCAACGAUGCUGGUUAGUAUUCAAGAAAGCUUCAAGCAAAGGUCCAAAAAGACUGGAGAAAUUUUCUGAUGAACGUGCUGCAUAUUUCAGGUGUUAUCAUAAGUCUCUGCUAUGGGACUUAUCAUGUUGUACUCCCUACACUGAAGCCCCGAGAGGAUAAGGACUGGAUCUCAUUGUGUCUCAGACACUGCCUGAUGCAGAAAGACACUCAUUCAAUGCUUGGGGAAUGUGGGGAGAGAAGGGAACGGAAGAAGCAGAAAACAGGUAACAGUGGACGAAGAGGAAGUUCCACCCAUUUGUUGGUUUCUUUAAGUUUGAUGACUAAAUUUUCUUAGUAGUAGUGAGACUUCCUCACUAAAAAUAGUCAUUGUGUGUUAAAACUCAUU
rnacentral:sRNA from 1 species